rnacentral:lncRNA from 1 species
CAUAAGUAACAUUAUGUAAAUGUAAUAUUAUUUAGACUAAGAAAUUGUCUUAUAUAACGACAUGGGUGAGCUUUAACAUUUUAGACAAAAUAAACAAUGUUAUGAGAUCCAAAUAUCACACAAUCUUACACAUGUGUAGAACUUAAAAUGCUUAAUUCUUUUUUUUCUUUUCUUUCCUUUUUUCCAAAGCUUCCUGGAACUCUCUCUGUAGACCAGGCUGGCCUUGAACUCACAAGAUCUACCUGCCUCUGGCUCCGUCUCUGCUGGGGUUCAAGGCUUACACCAUCUUGCCUAGCCUAAAAGGUUUAAUUCUUAGAAGUAAGGCAGAACGGUGGAGUGAGACGUUGGAGAGAUGCCAGUGACUUAGAAUUCGCCCAGGGAUCUAGUCCAGGGCAUGGUGACAGCAAUGGUGCUUAGAAUCAUGAAGUACAGUCUUCUCACACGGUAAGAUAUCCAUAACCAAACUCAGUGUGGCCCUUCUUCAGUACAUACAUACAUGUUAUAAACGGCUGUCUUAGUCAGGGUUUCUAUUCCUGCACAAACAUCAUGACUAAGAAGCAAGUUGGGGAGGAAAUGGUUUAUUCGGCUUACACUUCCAUACUGCUGUUCAUCACCAAAGGAAGUCAGGACUGGAACUCAAGCAGAUGAGAGAGCAGGAGCUGAUGCAGAGGCCAUGGAGGGAUGCUCUUUACUGGCUUGCUUCCCCUGGCUUGCUCAGCCUGCUCUCUUAUAAAACCCAAGACUACCAGCCCAGAGAUGGCACCACCCACAAGGGCCUUUUCCCCCUGAUUCCUAAUUGAGAAAAUGCCUUACAGCUGGAUCUCAUAGAGGCAUUUCCCCAACUGAAGCUCCUUUCUCUGUGAUAACUCCAGCUUGUGUCAAGUUGACACAAAACUAGCCAGUACAAUGGCAAAUAUGCUUCAUUUGUUAGUCCAAAAAUAGGUCCUGAAAGAGACAAGAAUCAGAGAAAGAAAAAGACAAUAUAACCAAACAGAACAUUAAAAAAUUGUAAUUGUAUUAUCUGAGAGGCUUUUGGCUACAAUGAACUGUAGCAACUACAUAGACAUUCAGUGUUAGAGAUCUGGGGUUAAAAGAUGGCAGAAUAGGUGAAUUCAUGGGAACAAAGUAGCUGCUGGGAGCCAGGGCAGGAGGCAGGGGCAGGGCCAGUGCAGGAGCCAAGGACAGGAGCCAGGGGUGGAGCUAGGGUAGGAGGCAGGGCGGGGCCAGAGCAGAAGGCAGGGGCGGGGCCAGGCCAGGAGGCAGGGGCAGAGCCAGGGCAGGAGGCAGGGCAGGGCCAGGGCAGGAGGCAGGGUUGAAGCUAGGGCAGGAGCCAGGGCAGGAGCCAAGGCAGGAGGCAGGGCAAGGUGGCUGCUAAUGCCUGCAGGGCUUCUUCAGGGAGUAAUGGAAUUUCUAAAAUUGGGUUGUAGAGAGAGUUGUACAAUUGCAUGGAUGUAUUAAAGCCAUUGAGUUGCAUACUUUUAAGAAAUGACUGUCAAAUUAGAUGUCAAAGUGGAUGUAGGAGAGACAAUCUUAAAAGACAGAGUUUGAAAUUUGCUGCUUUAUUUUAAGGGAAAAGUCGCUGAAAAGAUUGUAAAAAGCACGUUGUUGAUGGAGUUUAUGUUGGAAAGACGAGCUAUAUUGCAGCCAUAGAUGAGUGAAUGUCUGAUUUAUGUUAAAAAUCUAGACAGAGUGAUGCAUUUUUUUUAUAUUAAUCAAAAUCCUCAAUGCAUAAUAUUUUAGAUUUUCUGCCUUACUAAAAAUUUCAGGUAAACAACCCAACAUUGCUAACAAACACAUUAAAUUAAACAUAUUAACCCAUUUUUCAUUGUUAUAAUGAAAUGCUUGAAGCACUGACUUUAUAAAUAAAAGGUUUGUUGGCUGGGUCUCAGAGCUUCAAGGCCGUGAUACUGGCUCAGUUCAUUCUGGUAAAGGUUGCCUUACCUGUGCCAAGCCAUGGUGGAUGGGGAUGUCAUGCGCAGGGGAAGGGAGGACCUGGACCGAGAAAGAGUGAAGGACUGGGGUGGGUAGAGGUACAGGUGCCUGGCUGAGACUUUUAGACAAUUAUUUUAUCUUUACAUCUAAGGAGAAGCAGCCACAGGAAGUACCUGAACACCUUCUGAGGACAUGUCCCUGACUGAGGAUGUGUCUGUCACUAAGCCUCGAGUCUUCAAAAUUCCAUCACUGUCCUGUAUGGCUACCCACAGGGCCAAGUCCCAAAAGAUGAGGUUUUGAAAGAACAAAAGCAACUCAAAUCACAGCAGAGGCCACACAUGGUAUAGCAACAUUCAAACAAACAAAAUUCUACUUCUUUUCUGUUUCUACUACCCAGUCUGUAUGUGGCAGCUUUCGGCAAACAGUCAACAACUUAUAAAUAAAAUACAUGCCUGUAUAGGAUGAGUAGAGUUUGUACAUUCCCUUGACGUGUUAUGUGUUCUGGGUAUACUGCGUCUAUUUAAUGGGUUUGGCUGUUGUGACCAGACACGACUUGUCUGCUUUGGUUUUUGUUUGUUGUUAUUUUCCUGCUAGAAUGACCACUACAGAAUGUUCCCAUUGCCUGCACCUGGAUCUGGCAUAUCACUUGGUUCUUCCAGUAAGCUAUAGGUGGAAAUGAGGCACAUGCUAGACACCCAAAGACAUCCUGAUACGAUGUUCUCAGACACAGUUCCUUUCCAUGAUCUGCGCGGUGCUGCUCCUACAGUGUAGCUUGGGGUCCCUGGUGGCACUGAUCCUACAGUGUAACUUGGGGUCCCCGAGUUGAAAGCGCGGGGGUCUUGAGAUACCCACUGUGAUAUGGGAUCAGAAGUCACCUCCACCCAAACGGGAAGAGAGAGGUUACAAUUAUACAACUGGGCAACCUUUAUUUCCGCACAGACCACAGACCCAGAACCAUUUCUCACACAGCAG